UUUUUUUUUUUUUUUUUUGCUGUCUGCAAUAGAAAUUUGUGGUAAACAACUAGAAAGGGUGUGCAAAGUCGGAUAAAUGAAGCUCGUCCAUACAUGUUUGUAAAUUUUAGCUUUGUUAUGAACUGUUAAUUCAGGCUAACAAUAUCCUCCUUUAGGUAUCUUCCUGUGGAUGUUAUGUGAGAUUUAUGGUAGCCCUGUAUUUGAUUUUCCUGAAACUGGAACUCAUUUUCUUCGGCCCUGUUUCACAGGCUUGCCCAAAGAAUAGUGCAAGGAGAUGUUCCUCAAGCAUUGAUGAACCGAAGGGUGUGUAUUGUAGAUGUUUAUUGUAAAAUUCUCCAAUUGAAAAUUAUUUUUUUUUCAUUUACACACACACAUCCUUUUUUAUUGUUCUUUUUAAUUUUUUUAAAAAUUUACUUUUUUACUUAAGGAUCUGAUUUUGGACUUUUAAUUUGCAAGACAAUGAGGAAAUCUGUCCCAACUGAUUCACUUCUUGGAUGCAGUUGAUAUCCCUUGACAUGGGAGCACUGAUUGCAGGGGCUAAAUAUCGUGGAGAGUUUGAAGACAGAUUGAAAGCGGUACUCAAGGAAGUUACAGAUUCAGACGGGCAGAUUAUCCUUUUUAUUGAUGAAAUCCAUACAGUUGUUGGAGCAGGUAAUGUUUGUAAGUUCUGCAGGUCGAUGACAGAUGCUUAGAUUGAAUGCUUAGAUGGUAAAUAACCAAACAAGGUCUUUUAUGCUGUUAACUCCUACUAGCCCCUCAAUCUUAUCUGCAGUAUUUCUUUCUUUUCUUUCCUAUGAGCGCUAUGAGGUUCACGUUAAGAUGUCUGCAUUUACAUGCUGGAGUUUAUUUAUCAGAUGGAAUUUUUUUCUACUAGUUGUUUGUCCUAGUGUUGUUUGUGAUACUGUGCUUUAGGUUUGGUAGAAAUAGUAAUUGUGAUUGAUGUUUUCCAGAUGUCUAAGUUCAUCAAAUGAAAGAAAAAACUUUAUCGUUUUUCAGGUGCCACCAGUGGUGCAAUGGAUGCUGGCAAUCUCUUGAAGCCCAUGCUUGGUCGUGGAGAAUUGCGAUGCAUUGGUGCGACAACAUUGGAUGAAUACCGUAAAUAUAUCGAGAAAGAUCCAGCUUUAGAGCGCCGUUUCCAGCAAGUUUAUGUUGAUCAACCAACUGUAGAAGAUACCAUCUCCAUUCUUCGUGGACUGAGGGAAAGAUACGAGCUGCAUCACGGAGUUCGAAUUUCAGACAGUGCACUGGUAGAAGCUGCAAUUCUUUCAGAUCGCUAUAUUAGUGGACGCUUUUUACCUGACAAAGGUGAGCCUGAUCAGUCAUCUGACAUUAGCUUUUGAAUUUGGUACCAUUCAAGAUUUCUUUUCUAGAAUUGUUUUCUCAAAAUUUUGCUCACAUAGAAGAACUAUAGAGGCCUUAGAUGUUAACGUGUUUGAGGCAAUAGUAGAUUUGGUUGCGAUUCUGAGUCCCUGCAUAUAUACUUGUUCUUUCUACUAUAGCCAGUUCUGCAGAUUUUCAAACUGACUACUGGCGUGUUCAAUAGUUCUAUUUCUUGUAUUCUAUAUUAGACGUUUGAACCUUUGAUUAUGUGUGUGUUAGAGAUUAAUCUUCAGUCUCAUGUGUUAUGUUCAAUACUAAUUCAUGAUCCCAGACGCUCCUUGCUUAUGGAAUCCUUGUAUCACUAGGAUACACUUAAGGCAAGCUAGAUAUUUCAGUUAAUUUUGUUGUUUUGAAAUUGUUGAUUGUGAUCGUAGAGUAUGUAAGUUGAAAUUUAAUUUGUUCAGUUGCUGCAUAUGUAUUGAUACUUCUAUGAAAUAAGCUCUAAUGUAAUGUUUCGACCGCAGCUAUUGACCUGGUUGAUGAAGCUGCUGCCAAACUGAAGAUGGAAAUAACUUCAAAGCCAACAGCUCUUGAUGAGAUCAACCGUGCAGUUUUGAAACUGGAGAUGGAGAGACUCUCUCUCACUAAUGACACGGAUAAAGCAUCAAAGGAAAGAUUGAGUCGCCUUGAGGCAGAGUUGUCUUUGCUGAAGGCUAGGCAAGCUGAGCUGAAUGAACAGUGGGAGCAUGAGAAGACUGUAAUGACCCGCAUACAGUCAAUCAAGGAAGAGGUAUGCAUUUUUUAUCCAUACAGUUGUGAACUAUCCUCUUUCCUUUUCCUGGGGACGGGGGUCUUUCUCCCUCCCCAUUGGCGUUCAUUCGGAGCUUUUUGUCACAUCAGUAGCCAUAGGCUGAAAUUAUUAAGCAAGCAAUGCCUAUGUUGUUGUUGUUUCCAUGCUGAAAAUGUGGCUAAUCCAUAAAGGCGAUUCCUUUAAUUGUCACAGCCAAAAGCUGUCCUGGCACACAAACUGGGCAAAACAUAAUGAAAGUUUUUUUUUUUUUUUUUUUUUUUUAAAAACAGAUUGACAGGGUAAAUCUUGAGAUCCAGCAGGCUGAGCGAGAGUAUGACCUCAACCGUGCGGCUGAACUAAAAUAUGGGAGCUUGAACUCUUUGCAGCGUCAGCUUGAAGCUGCAGAAAAAGAAUUAGAUGAGUAUAUGAAGUCUGGGAAGUCCAUGCUUAGAGAAGAAGUUACGGGAGAUGAUAUAGCUGAGAUUGUCAGUAAAUGGACUGGAAUACCAGUUUCUAAGCUAAAGCAGUCAGAGAGGGAAAAGCUGUUGCAUCUGGAGGAAGAGCUUCAUAAAAGAGUUGUUGGUCAGGAUCCUGCAGUGAGAUCUGUGGCAGAGGCUAUCCAACGAUCUCGAGCAGGCCUUUCAGAUCCACACCGUCCAAUUGCUAGUUUUAUGUUCAUGGGACCUACGGGGGUUGGAAAAACAGAACUAGCGAAGGCUCUGGCUUCAUACAUGUUUAACACUGAAGAAGCACUUGUAAGAAUUGAUAUGAGCGAAUACAUGGAGAAGCAUGCAGUUUCAAGGUUAGUAGGAGCUCCACCUGGUUAUGUAGGCUACGAAGAAGGAGGACAGUUGACUGAGGUUGUUCGCAGAAGGCCAUAUGCUGUUAUUUUGUUUGAUGAGAUAGAGAAGGCUCACUCUGAUGUAUUCAAUGUUUUCCUGCAAAUUCUGGAUGAUGGUAGAGUUACCGACUCUCAGGGGCGUACCGUGAGUUUUACUAACACUGUGAUCAUUAUGACUUCAAACGUGGGUUCCCAAUAUAUACUUGACACAGAUGAUGACGCCUUGCCCAAAGAAAUGGCUUAUGAAACUAUAAAACAACGGGUUAUGGAGGCUGCAAGAGCUGUUUUUCGUCCAGAGUUCAUGAAUCGGGUUGAUGAGUACAUAGUUUUCCAGCCUCUGGACCGUGAUCAAAUCAACAGCAUAGUCAGAUUACAGGUAAAUUCUUUUUCCAUUAAUAAUAGACGAGUUUUUCAAGUAUGUUGGUGACUAUAUUUCAUUUUGUGGCAAUAAUAUAGGAAAUUAUGUUGAAAAUGCAUGUACUGGGUAGUGCUGUUGGAAUCGGCUAACUUGGUGAAAUAAACUUUAAUUGAUUUAUUUUUACUAGGAAUUUUCAGACUGAUGAUGAAUAAGUGUGUUGAACAACUUAUUUAACUGGGUUGAAUAAGUUUAGUUCUUUGAGAUAGACGAACAAACAGGCGUACUCGUACUCCCAAACGCCAAUUGUUCAUGUGUCCUCAUCUUCCUUCGACUCUGUGCAUAAGGAAUUUGACCAUCUUCAUGUACUUUAUUGACAUUAUGUCUCUGUUACAGCUGCAACGAGUACGGCAGAGGAUUUCAGAUCGGAAGAUGAAGAUUCACGUGACUGAUGCUGCCAUUCAACUGCUAGGCACUCUUGGGUAUGAUCCUAACUAUGGAGCUAGGCCUGUGAAGCGGGUAAUACAGCAAUAUGUUGAGAACGAGCUUGCUAAAGGAAUCUUGAGAGGAGAAUUCAAGGAUGAGGAUUCGGUGUUGAUAGACACCGAGGUAACAGCAUUUGCUAACGGUCAGCUUCCCCAGCAAAAGCUGGUGUUCCGAAAAUCGGAAUCUGAUUCACAAGCACCUGCAGAAAACAGAGAAACUUUCUCCCAGGCACUAUGAGCUUUGUAAAUUGGGUCGCCUUUUGGGCCAGCCGGAGUUGGAAUUUCAGUUGUUCAGACGGGGAAUUACCGAACUGAUCUUUCAAGGCAAAAAUGAUAACUUUCAUUGAUAUGAACAAGUUUGUACAAGCGAUUGAGAAUGAACGUCACUUUACAUGUUAUUCUAUAAUACCAAAACUGAAAAUCCCAAGGUUAGCUGCAAGCUUUCAUGGGUCUUUGGAAUUUUUUCCAGCGCAAGAACACCGCAUGCCUGACUUCGUCUAUCAUAUCUUCCAUAAAGCUAAUCGCAGUAACUGACCCGUAUCUGAAAAUUGCAGCAUUUGGCGUCCUCCGGGCAUGACAAACAAUCACAGGAAAAACAAGCCUUUUGAAUUGCUGCAAAAAAGACUUGCCAGCCCAAUGGUUAGACACCCACUGAAGCUCCUCCUCUAAUGGACAUUUGAAUGCGUCCUCUGAACUUUUUUUUUGCCAUUCCGCGGAUGACAUUCUACAAUUGAAGAAUGAAUGUUCUAUGCUCUCUUCAGCGUCAGAGCAUAGUAUACACUCAGCAAUGUUUUAAAAAUCGGACCGUUAAUUGAACCGGUGAAGUGAAAGGAUCGAGGUUCAAUCGGUUGGAUCGGUUCAAUUUCGGUUCAAUGAAUUUUUUGAAAAAUAAUUUAAUAAAUAUAUGUAUGCACAAAAUAAGACAUGUAAUGGACUAAUUUAAUACUUUAUAUGAUGAAAAGUUUACUAUUUUUUAAUAACUUGAAUUUUUAAAAAUAAAAUUUUUAAAUUAUAAGUUAAAACAAAUAAAUUUCAUCUCAAUUUCAAUUAUAUCUAAAUCCAACCCAAAAAUAUCACAAUAUUUUAAAAUUAUACAAAAUUCACGUCUAUGAGAAUUUAGAUAUUGUGAACUUAAAUUUUAAUUUAUGUUUUAGAAUUUAGAGAUUGCAAUUUAAAAAAGAAAGUUUGGAGUUCAAAGGAAGCGAGAGAUUCAAAAAUAGAAAUGUAAACUUGAUAUGAAACAAAAAAAUGAGAUAAAAGUGAGUGGUUGUAGCAUUAAAUAAUUUGGGUUAAAGAAAAAUAAUUCUUUUUUAACUUUUUUCAAUUUAAUGGACAAAAAUAAAAUUAAAAGAUGCAAGAAAACAUCAAUAAAUUAAAAAUAAAAAAAUUUGAUUAAAAAGGGAAUGACAAAAGAAAAGAGAAUAGAGAUAGAGAGAGAGAGAGUUGAAAAUUAAAAAGAAAGAGUCAUGAGAGGAUGAGAUUUUGUAAAAAAAAUAGAAAAAAGAAACAUGAAUGUUUGUUUUAUAUAAAUAAGUUAUCAAAAAAAACUAAUAAGAUGUGAUGGUGCAACGGUUAAUACAUUGAUCUUCUAUUACAAAGGUCUUGAGUUUGAAUCUUGAUAGCUGCAUUUUGCAACAAAAAAAAAAAGAAAAAAAGAGGGAAAGUUGAAAACCGAAAAAUCACCGGUUCAACCCGAUUUGACGGUUUUCACGAUUCGACCGAUUUUCAGACAAAGUCAAACAUGGCAUAGAACCGGACCGGUGCCAUGGCCGGUCCGGUUUUCAAAACAUUGACACUCAGUCGACUCCAAUGUCAUUCCCCAUUUCCUAUCUCUUUGUAUUUAACUUUCUUCUGCAUUGCAACCACAAUACAAGAGAUAGGGAGCUUUUUGCUAUACCGAGUUGUCAAGAGACUUGACAGUUUUAUGCUGCGUCAAGAGUAGGGCUGCAAACGAAUCGAGCCGCUCGCGAGCGGCUCGAGUCGAGCUCGACAUUAAUCGAGCUCGAGCCAGCUCGAGUCAAACUCGAGCUCGAACUCGAGCUCAGAACUCGGCUCGCGAGCUUGAAUAUAUAUAUAUUUUUUUUUAUUUUUAUUUUUAUUUAAUAAUAAAAUUACGUAUAUUAUAUAUAUAUAUUUUUUUAUUUUUUAUUUUCAUAGUGAAAUUACGGAUAUAUCCUUAAUAUUUUAUUAUUUAUUCAGAAAAAAAAUAUUAUUUUAUUUAUUUUUUUUUAAAAUAAAAUUUUUUUAUUUAUUUUUUUCGAGCUCGAGCUCGACUCGACUCGACUUGAUUCGAGUCGAGCUCGAGCUCGAAAAUUGCCAGCUCGUCGAGCUCGAGCUUGAUAAAAUUUAGCUAAGGCUCGGCUCGAUUAGCUCAAAGCUCGACUCGGCUCGGCUCGUUUGCAGCCCUAGUCAAGAGGCUUAACAGUUUUAUGCUAUGCAAAGAGACUAACAGUCUGGUUGUUUGCUUCACUGGACAGCUUUGUCCAGGCCAGAUUAUCCAAGAGAAAUGAGGGCGAAUGCUUGCUAAAUUCUUGUGGCAAACUCCUAUAUGUCCCAACCCUCCAAUGUAAAACUCAUGUAUGUCAAAUUACCGGAAGGAAAAGGUUAAAAAAUAAAAAAUAAAACCUCCUGUAUGUCAUAUUACCGAUUACCGUGUAAAAAAAGGCGUACAAGAAAGGCUUGUAACAAAACCCCCCUAACACCAAAAAACAAAAAUACCCCAAAUCCCAGGGGCACCACUCCAAGCACAUACUUUCUAAGUUUUCACCGGGCAUUCUAUCUAAGUACUAAUCACAAGCAACGCCUGAUUUUUUGUCUUCCUAAUUGUAGAGUUUCUGACGACAAUUUGUCGAGAUUUGUACCUGCAUGGGCAUAUGUUCCAUUGUUACUGCUGACAAGGCAUUAGUAAAUCUUAAAGAUUAGAAUGCAGAUUUCAAUCUACCAUUGAAAAUAUUUCGAAGAGCAAAAGUUUUCUAAAUAUAAGGAAAUUAAUACCAGCUUUUCCAGAUUAGUUCUAGGUAGCUUUUGCGAACAAAUUUAAACCGAAUAAAGUUUAUUCAUUUCUGAGAGUACAUGAACCUAAUCUCGAAUAAUAAACUUCAUAAUCCAACACACACGAUCAUGUGUUAAGUAAGGUACAAGAGAUAGUUCUCCAAUCGUCUAGCUAAACAGCUAGAUAACUAGAUGAACUUUAUUCAAUCAACAUGCACGCGAUAACAUGAAGAUCUACCAGCCGGUGAUACUCAAUGGCCUUAAAGUUAGUAGAUUCGGCACUGCUGGGGUCCCAAGUUGCACAGUAGCGGGAGGUAUCUAGCCUUCUGCUUGACUUGUUGCAUCUCCUGGCCUCCCUGUCCCUUCCAGCUCCUUCCUUGCUGCUGUUGCCGCCUAACUGCCGCUCUUACGGCCCGCAUUGGCACUUCUCGUCGAAGUUCUGAAGUGCUUGGCAGCAUUGUCUGAGGUGCUGCUGCUGCCGUCCCUGCUGGUUCAUGAUGUCCAUCUCGAAAGGGCUCCCCUCGGAUAAGUACUGCUGGCAAUGUCGGAGCUGCUCAAAUUGUUGUCGAAUCUGCCGGCGGCAUCUCUGCUGGGAUUGACCCCCCCUAGUUCUCAUCCUCCUCAACUAGGGUGGUUAUGGUGGCUCUGAAGCUAGAGGCCUCAGCAAGAGCCAAGAAGGCUAUCAUGAUAGCUGCCGCGAUCAUGGUCUUUACCAUUGUGUUCACUACUUCACACCGUUCUGUCUAUGGCUAUGAAGUGGAGGAUAUGAUCAAGUUGUACUUGGGUUUGCGUGGUGAAAUUAAGGACCGAGGAGAGCAAAGGGUAUUUGUAGGAUCACUACAUUUUAUGUAUUAAAAUAAAUAUAAAAAUUUAGAAAAAAAAAAAAAAAAGUUUAGAAGUUAUUAAGAGAAUUUCUGUUAAAAACCUCUUCUUGAAUACAUAUAGAUAUAGAUGUUACAUGUACAUAUAUAUAUAUAUGCGUGUGUGUGUGUAUACACACAUCCCAUAUGUUUUUUUUCGUUUGUUUGUUUGAUUUAAUUGUACGUAUAGGACGGUAAAGGCGGCAAACCGGCAAUAACUAACAAGGACAUUAUUGUAAAAUCAUCAAGCCAAACCAUAUUCGUUCAACCGAAAGAUUCUGCGACCGGAACUACCGGCCUCUGCGCCUGCGGAUUCAAUAACUAGGGCUGCUCCAUUCGCUAAAUUCCUCAACCACCUUGGUUAAUUAGCAUCUUCACUAUCUGAAUUUAUUACCCAUGCAUGAUUCAUCAUAUCUGACAAGUCGUCCAUUAUUUUCCUUUGCUCUAGUUUUCACUUCAAUCAAAAGAUAUUUCCAGCCUUUAUUCCUUCUUUGGUAUUGUUACUUGAAUUCCCUCGAAAUCUAUCGUUUUUCUUUUCUUUCAUAGCACAAAUCCAGCAAAUGAGUAUUAUCCUCGUAUUAUGCUCCAUCUCUUUCACUCUCGCACGGUUUUACCCUCGUAUAUUGCUUUAACUGGUUCGCUUGAUCAUCAAAAUUUUCCGUUCUUUUUGCUUGAUGGGAGAAGCAUUUCUUUUUUUUCAGGGGUGUUGCUUUUGCUGGAGUUGAGAACCUUAAAUCUGUUUUCGUGAAUAGAAGCCUCCUCAGUGAGGGAUGAGCCAGUUUGCUGAGCAUCAUGGUAAGCUUGUAUUCAAAUGUGCGUUGAAAUUUCACUCUUCCAGUGCCUACUGCAGCAAGUGAUUUCCUGAUAGGACCGUUACUGAGCUUGUUAAUUUCAUCCUAAAAGUUUCUGUUUGGCAAUAACUUGUACUAGUCAAAACAAACAUGUCUUACAAUUCGUUAAUGCAACUUCUGUUAUUUGUCAAGCUUCACUUGAGAUGAAAAAUCCGAGGUUAUCUCUUUGUCUUGUUUGUAUACUGGUUCAUUUCGGUUUCUGUUUCUAUUCAAUUCUUCUCCUAGUGAAGUUGCCGACGGUUAAUGGGAAAACUUUUGUUGGCUGAGAUGCAGUUAAGGGUUCUGAAGUGUUUGUUGGCGGUUUGCCUCACACAGUGACUGAAAGUACUAUCCAUGAGGUUGGUUGUCCUUUCCAGGCUUUUCUGUCUUGAAAUGAACGAAUCAAGGAUCGAUUAACACAUCCUUUACUUCUGCACGUAAUUUUAGCAUCUUUGCUUUUCCAGAUAUUCUCUCAUUGUGGGGAAAUUGUUGAAAUACGUCUUAUAAAGGAUCAAAAAGGCAGCAUAAAGGUUUGCUUAACAUGUUUUUGUUGCUCUACUUGUUUCUGUUAUCGACUAUGAUGCUCAACAUUUCUUGUCUCUCGUCUCACUAUCUCAUAAAGAGAAAUUAAUCACACAAGCGGAAGAAUGGAAUCACAUGGUUUCUCAUUGUUAUCUGUGGCAUUUUAGGACUUUUGCUUUGUGCGUUUUGCAACAAAAGAGGCUGCUGAGAAGGCCGUGAGAGAAAAAUCUGGAUUUGUGGUAAAUAUUGCAUCUUCUGCACCAUACUUUGUUACUAAUUGGAUUGAAAAUUGAUUAUGGAUUUAGAAUUCUUGUUGAACCAUAUUUCUUCUGACCUUUACGACUCAGCUAGAUGGAAAGAAAAUCGGUGUUCUCCCGUCUAAAGAGCAGGAUACUUUGUUUUUCGGAAACCUCAAUAAAGGUUCAUUUCUUGCCUAAUAUCUGCUUGUAGAAGAUUGCACACCAACUGCCAUUUGCUUGUCCUCCCAGAGUUAUUUGCUUUUGUCUUUCUGGUAAAAAAAAAUACAGUUCACCAUUUUCAUGAAGUGUAUGAAAAUAUGUUCCAUAUACAUUUCUAUUUAUUGGUAUCAUGUGAUUUAGUUGACAAGUGUUUCUUUAUCUGGUCUUCUGUAUGAACUUUUCCUUUGGUGCCAGAUUGCACUUCUUUCAUUCUAUAGUUUUAAAGUUCUUAAACAGUACCUGAUUGGUGCAUUCUGUCUUGAAGGUUGGAGUACUUAUGAAUUUGAGGGAAUUAUACGUCAGGUACACCUCUGAGUUGCAUACAGUUAAUUAGUUGUAUAUAAUUUCAAAGGUUACAAGACACCUUACCUGCAUUUCCUUUUCUUAGUAUAGGUUUUUCCUGAUGUUAUUUCUGUUGAUCUUGCCUCACCGGUGGGAGAAACAAAAUCUAUAAAGCAACGAAAUCGUGGUUUUGCUUUUGUGAAGUUCUCCUCUCAUGCUGUAAGUUCUCUUUCCUGCCAUCCUAAUUUGCUCAAUGAAUCUUUACCCUAGCUGAUCAGUGUUUCACAUAUGGGGAUAUUGUUUUUGACUCGUGUUGCUUGACUCGUUUUGCAUCUCAAAUCAUACAGGCUAGAAGCUCAGGUUCGUGGUUUUGACUCUUGGUUCCAGUUGCUCCAUAUUCUUGUUAAAAGACAAAACAAGGAUUAUAAUUCACUUCAAUCUCCAUAAAAAUAAAUGUUAAAUCUGAAUGAUCCACUGAGGGUGGGUACUAAAUCUGGGCUAACAGAUGGUGCAUUUGUUAAUCUAAAACUUAGUGCAUUAGCCUAUCAAUUAACUUUUCUGCUAUGAAACACGAGAAAUUUCUAUACAAAAUUAUGAAUCGUGAUGACUAAUUGAUGGUCAUCUUCAUCAAUGCAUUAUGAUCUCUACCUUUAACGCUGAUAUAUUAUUUGCUUUACUCAAACAUUGUUCAGCAGGUCCAAUCUUGUUCUUUUGUCAAUAUUUUCUCAGAUUUAGCUGAUUUACUACGAAAUUUUAUUUUCCUUUUCUGAUUAAAAGCUGCAUCUGAUAAGUAUCUUCUUCAUAAUCUUUUCCAGACUUUCUCUGUUGAAUCUUAAACCGAGUUCGUUUAGGCUCAAUAUUUGUCUCCUCCAUAGUUUAUUACUUGUAACUCUUGCUGUGGGAGUGGGUUAAAUCUCAGGAUUCUACAGACAUCUCUCUUAGAUUUUAAAAAAUGUUUCAUCAUCAAUAUUCCAUUGGCCUCUAUAAGAUGUUGAGAUAUAAGUUUUGUACAUACCCUCUCUUAAGCAGUGCAAGUUGUUCUCUGCUUAUUGUCCUCUAAUGAAUGAUGGGUGGAUAACUUUGACGAUCAUUGGAUCGAAAGCUACCAUUCUCCCUGAUCUUAUGCAAAAGAUUAAAUAAUAAGAAGCAAUCACACUGCUUAAAACACAAAUUAUUGGAGAAUAAUUUAUGGCAUAUUUCUCAUGCUCCCAAUUUUCUGUAAUCUGUAAUAUGCUUGUAACAUUUACUUGAGAAGUUGUGCCAAUAAAUUAUAAAAUCAUACGUUGGACUGAGGGUGUUAACACAAUCUAAAAGCAAAGUUUGCUUCCAAACUAUGACAUCUUUAUCUUUGCAAUCUUUCUCAAACCAUGUGUUUCUUAAAGCUAGUUCUGUUUCAUCUCCUCAACUUUCUGUCGUCGUAUAGUUUCCUUAAAUACACUCCUUCAUAUCUUGAUUCUUAAAUUACCAGUGCUUUUAUUUUGUUGGAUUAAUAUCUUUGAAUUGUCAAAAACUAUAUCAGUAAGAUGUCCCAUCUCUUUUUUAAAAUCACUUGCGUUAUGAAUCUGAUGUCACCUAUUUUUUGUUCUUCCAAAUGCUUGGCAUAGCUUUUUCUGAUUCUACCUGAAGUUUUUCAUGAACCCUUGUUCCUUGAGUAUAUUUCUUUGAACUUCUGAUUUGGACUAGGUCUCUUCUACUUCUUAUCCUCUUAAGCAAGAUGCUUUAUGAUUAAACUUGUCGUGAGGUAGUUUCGCAUCCCUGUUCAAUUCUGUUAAGAUUAUUUCAAGAUAGCUAAAAAAUAACCUUGGUUGUUGAUGCAUGAUUUCUGCAUCUUUGCCAAUCAAUAUAAUGCUUCUGAUUAUGCAAUCUUUCCACUUCGAAUCUAAUCAUAAGAAUAAAUACAGAUGAGGGAAGAUUAUGAAUCCAAAAUCUCUACCUUGUUAAUUUAGAUAUAACAUUCUCCAGCUUACAAAAUCCAAAGACUAUAGUUGAUUCAGAAAUUUGAACCUGCCUCCUUCAAAAUUCUCAAAAACAGGCCGCUGCGAGGGCAUUUCGGGUUGGUUCGAAAGCAGAUUUUAUGCUUGGUGGUAAUCUGCAUCCAGCUGUUCAAUGGGUUGAGGAUCAACCUGAAAUUGAUCCAGCUGCCCUAGCCAAGGUCCUUGAACUACAUAUUUCUUUUUCUAAGGCAUGCUGUCUUCAACUCGUGUUUUGAUGUCUUACCAUAGAACUCUCUGCGAUUUCAGAUCAAAAUUGCAUUUAUCAGGAACCUUCCAUUUAGUGCUGAUGAAAACUAUUUGAAGAAAUUAUUUGAGCCUUUCGGAGAGGUUGGUUAAUUGCAACUUGAAUUUGAAAUUUUGGUGAUUCAAUUGAUGAUUGAUGCUGAAAUCAUCAUGCUUUCAGAUAGAAAAAGUAGUGCUGUGGAGAAAGGGUAGCUCCCCUGUUGGGUUUGUCCACUUUACCAAACGAGCAGUAAGUUGGCCUUUUAUUACUCUUCAUAUAUCUGGCAUACAUCAGUUCAGUGUUGUGACAUAUUUUCUGAGUAUGUCUAAAAUUGCAAUGACUUGUAUGGUAAUUUCUUUUGCCAGGGGGAAUUAAGGCGAACGGGAUUUCUUUAUUCUAUGUUAUGAACAAGUGUGCAUCUUAUUGUGUCAACUGAAUUCUACUUUUUUUAGAGGAGUCAUUUGAAGGUUUAUUAAAAAAAAGAUGGAGGGAACUGACAACAAUGAAAUACAGAAUGAGCAUCUUGGUGGUUUGAGGAAAGUAAAUUGCUAGGCUAACAGUUGUUUCAUUUGGCAUGAUAAGUAGUAAAUAGGUUGAUAGUGAUUCCAGGAUAGUAAAGGUCAUGAGGCUCAGUAAUUUUCAUGUCCACUAUAAGUAUUGAAUAUUUUUCUUCAAGGCGCUUACAGAUUUUGGGGAUUUUGAUUUCUAUUGCAUUUCUUUCACCCGACCCCCCCUCUCUGUCUCUCUCUCACACACACACACCCAUCAUGGUUGAAUUGUACUCUAGACUUGUCUAUUUAUAGCUGUUUGAAGUUUGACCUGGUUAGCAAUACAUUCUUAUUGCUUCCAGUUUCUCCUCUAAUGCUGCCCUUUUUAAUUGGAAGUUAGAACUGCAAAUCAUUUUGGCUGGCAUUCUUACCUAGCAAAAUGAUUUGAAUGUAUAACUCAGAAAGGUUCAGUGUGGGUUUUUCCUUUUUUUUUUGUUUUGACAUGAUGUCCUCUUUCCAAUGAAAAUGCAGUAUCAAUUUUACUUGAACUCAUGGUGUUUGAAUUUUUGCGUGGUAUUUUCAAGUUAAGUGGCAACCGUUUUGUCAAAAAAAAUAAAGAAUCUAGUCUGGCGGGAAUGUGAUUUUAACUACAUGACUCGUUUUCUCAAUUAUGAUAAUAGGAUCUUGAAAAUGCUAUAAGGGGAAUGAAUGGGAAGACAGUACAAUGGCCUAGAGGAGGUCCAACGUCUAUGCUUUCGGUAAUUAAAGCUGCUCUUAUUUUAGAUCACUUACUGAUUCAACUGCAGGAGUGAAUUCAUAUUAGUGAGAUGUAUUAGGGUUAUUCCGAAUAAGAUUUAUUGGGGUUAACUACUGUUUGGUAACAGAUAGAAGUAGCAAGGCCAAUUGACAGAAGCAAGAAGCGCUUACGUGACGACUCACACGAGAAAAAAGCAAAUAAGGUUCCAAGUCACACCCCAAGUGCCAAUUUGGGAAUUCCUUUGUCCAGUGAUUGUACAUCUGGUUCGCAAAAGGUGGCUCAAAAGGUAAUGCACCUCUAGAGCUUGAGUCUGCCAUUCCAUGUCUAACAUUAGUUAUUUAUCCUUCAUAAUCUGGCUUUGGUAGAGCAAAUUGUACACAUGAAAGCUCCCAAACUUAGGAUUUAUGUAGAGGUAGCAACUUGGAUCCAUAUCCAUUUAUCCAUCCAAAUAAACCAAGCUUAAAUGGAUAGGGAUGAUUAAGAAAAAUUUAAUGACUUUACAUGGAUGACCAUUUAAACCCAACCACACAAGUACAUUUAUAUGGAUUACCAUGUCAUCCAUAUAAAUCCACCUAUCAAAGAAAGAAUAGGCUUGGACUAGCAAAGUAGAUUUAACCCUAUACAAUGAUGGCUUCACGCCAACCCAGCUGUACAUCUGUUACUUUCGUUGUGGGUCUGUAAUACUAGCUUUAAUGAUAAAACAUCACCGUUAAAGUGGGUUCUACACAGUAAAGACAUCACAAGAAUUGGAAGUCUGGAGAGAUUGGGAAUUAAAAAACAGCAGUCAAAAUGUUGAUAAGAAGCCUUGUCAAUUUAUUAAUACAGUGAAAAAAUCCUUUUGUUUUUGUGGCUUUAUUUCAUCUCUUUUCAUAAUUCCCCUUAGUUGCUAAUUAUGUGUUCUUCCACUAUAUACAUUCUCAAGUACUGAACUCCUUGAAAGCAAAAGGUUCACCUUUUUGCUACAAUUUUUUUUUUCAAUUAACUACUAGAAUUUUACCCAUGCCUUAGCACGGUCUUUUUUAUUUAUUUAUUGUGAAUUUAUACAAAUAUGAAUAAUUUAAAUAUAAAAAUUAACAACAGUUCUACAUGCUCAUUCAUAUUAAUUUUAAUGUUCAAUUAUUUACUAAUUUUUAAAAAUUUGUUUACAUUCUUUCACUAUAAUAUGAUAGUAUAUAUCAAAUAAUGUACCCCAUAUCCAAGACUUGGUAGAUAUUCUUUUUUUUAUAAAUAUUCUUUUAGAUAAUUUAAAUUUUUAUAAAGACCAUAAACCUAGAAUUAUAUAUUCAUACUUAAUUAAGUAGAAAAAAAUCGAUUAAUCCAUUUUUCAAGUUCAAUAAAUACUCAAUUUUCAAUAAUAUUGGUAAAUCUGUCGGUGUAACAGUUAAUUUUCUUUUUUACACUAAGUUAAUUCAAAAUUAAGAAAAGAUGAUAAACAAUUUGAAUACUAAUCAAUGAUAUGGUGAUGACAGGAAGUAAUUCAUGGGAUAUGUAAGAUUUCAAUAAUUGUUAUUUAAAAAGGUUUUACUAUAUUUCUAUGUAAUAAUUUGGUAGAAAGCAUAUAUCAUUAAGAUAAGAUUAGUUAUUUUUUAAAGUUAUUUUAAAAUUAAAGAUAAUUUUUAAGCAUAUAAUGUAAUCAUUGUAAUAAUUUGAUAGAAAGCAGAUACCAUUAAGAUAAGAUUAGUUGUUUUUUAAAAUUAUUUUAAAAUUAGAGAUAAUUUUUAAACAUGUAAUAUAAUUCAAAUAGGAUUCAAUAUGGGUAAAAUCCAAGUAACCCAUAAUCCGUUAAUUCUCUUCAAUUAGGCAUGCCACAUAGGAGUGAGAAAGACUGUGAUUAAAAUAGCUACUUUCAUAUAAAUAUAUAUAUAUAUAUAUAUAUAUAGAUUCCAAUAAGAUGCUUUAUCUAAAUUUUAUGGCAAUAUUAGGAUACAGUUCAAGUCAGAGAAUUUAUAGAUAACAUUCAUAUGGUCAAAUUUCUACUACUAGUUUUCUGGUGGAGGUAUGGGAUAAAUUUGGACAAUUUUAGUAAUCUAGAGUUUUAGGGUUAAGUUAUAGGAUCUUUGUAAUAGGUGCCCAAUGGGCACUCGUUAAAACACCUAAAUCACAUCUGAAUUACUAUGUAAAUACACGCACUCAUAUUUAUUGCACCCACUGAAUUGUGACACUUUCCCGAAUUAGAUACACUUAUUUAAAAAAACUAACACAUGAGACCUUUCUUAGUCUUAAUGACCCAUUAGCCGAACUGUAAAUUCUAAUAUUUUCUAAUGAAUUCUUUCAUAAGAAUCUAACGUCUUGUGUUUUGUUUUUCAUUGAUUAUACAAGAAAUUUAAAAUGUCCAUUGUUAAUUAUACGUGACUAGCUUAUGUCAUGUUGAAACUCAAAAUUGACAUGAGUUUCUUAUUGGUAACAUAAUCCAUGCAAAAUUUUCUAUUGUAAAAGUAUAAGCUGAUUUAUUUGCAAUACAACUAAAGUAAUUUUGGAAUCUUAACUAUUGGAGAUUUGGACCCAAGGAAAUUUUUUCCAAGUUAAUUAGGAAACAAUAAAUGUGGAGCGUAAAUUAGAGUGGUGAAUCAAUUUAUACAUAGGUAAAUCUUUUAUACACUGAUUGCAUAUACACUGGCAACUGCUACAUGUGUAAACUUUGGAAUUUAACUCCAAACCGGGAUGAUGUAGCAUGAAUAAAGAUUCACUAGAGUGUGUGUGUGUGUUCUGAAUUGUAAGGGAAAAGCAAAAACAAGAAAUGCAGAAAAAAGGUACACAAAAAAUUUUUAUGAAACAGCUUCUGAAAAUGAGAAAAAGUCCAAGGAACAAGGAGUACAGAAAUUUGUUUGGAUUGUAGACAGAGAGCUAUUAUAUUUCCUGAAGUUCAAAAAGAUCACCAAUGAAAAGAUGUGAAAGUGCUGUGAGUGCAGCCAUUGGAACUGUUAAAUUGUUAAAUGGGUGGAUUGUGGUUUUGCUGUAUCUAUUUAAAUCCUAUCCAUUUAGAUUCAUUUGUUUAACGGUUGUAAUUGGAUUGGAUUAAUUGCAUCCACCAACCAUUUAAGAAAAACCAUUUAUCCAUUUUGCCACCUCUAGAUUUAUCUUGUUUCACCUCCUACAAAGUGAGCCUUUUAUACCUAGACAUGUGCUUUUAUGGUUCUGAAAAUCAAAUUGGCAAGCAUUGGUUUCACAGAACAAGCAGACUAUGAAGAAAACUAUACUUGACUGGAAUCCUAAGCAUUUAGUGAAAUGCUCUGGAAAAAUAAUAGGCCCCAAAAAACUAGGUUUUUAAAUUUCAGAAAUUACAUGGAUCUGAAAGUUGAGGGGAGAAACAUUGAUUGCAUUCACAACCCACUUUGUUUCCAUAAUAUGCAUGUAUGGUGCUGUGCUGUUGGCUGAUGUUUUUUAAUCUAAAUGCACCUGGAAAUGGGAUGCAUGACAUAUUUUUGUCAGUGGUGCGUUUUUCUUUUAACAUAAUUGUUUUGCUUUUAACCUUUGGUAGUCUAGCUCUCCUUGUUCCUUUGUGAAAUGAUAUUCUAGUUUUCAAAUUUUUUCCUGUGUCCAGGUAUCCCUUGUUGUCUUGUUUAGUUGAAUUUACCUGAGCAAUUGUAGAUGAUAUUGUUGCUUGAUAUGCUCAUGUCAUGUGAAAGAAAUAGAAAUAACGAAAUGCAGGAAUGGUUAUGCAGUUCGGCCAGGAUUGAGCUAUAGCUGGCGAGUUGACCUUAUUUCCCUGUUUGCAUAUGAUAGAUUUUGGUUGCAAAGUGUGGAGACUGUUUGAAAAUUUGGAUAGCCUGUCAUCAAUUUUUAGUUGUCAAGUUGUUAAUUCUGAUAACUGAAUUAAGCUAAACUGAAGUUGGUGUUUCUUUUUCAUUGUGACAUCAGGAAGUUGAGUAUGAGGAUCCUUAUGAAGUGGCUGUACUGUUAUUACCUUUAAGCGUCAGAGAACGGCUACUUAGGAUAUUGCGACUUGGUAUUGCUACUCGAUUUGAUGUAAGUUUUAGAGCUAAAUGUAAGCUUUAAUAUUAAUGCUUUGUUAGACAUCAUUAUAUUGCUGGAGCUUUAGUGAGAAAUGUUAAAUUGACUUGAAUGCUGUAAAUUUUUUGCUUGCAUCUUACAAAAAACAUCCAGAAGUCCUGUUUGAUUGGGUGGAGCUGACUUCCAAAUCAAUAUCAUCUGUUAGAUCUUCAUGAACUAAAGACAUUACGAAUAUAUCUGAUGAAGUAACUUGAAAUCUAACUGCAUGUGCUGUUAAAGUUCCAAGUUAGAUUGUAAAGUUUUAUUGCCUUAAAAUGGUGUGCAUUGAUUGUAUAUCCUGCUGCUUCAAAGAAUUUCACAUUAGAGAGCAGCCCACUGGUAUUGCUACUCCGAAAGUCAAGGCAGGAACAUGUUAUGCUAUAUUUUAGGUGAGAAGCAAUUGGGCACUUAGCAAAGAAUGAGCAAUUAAUUGGCUACUGAAAUAUUUAGUUAUUAGUCUGUUGAAUGAUAACAUGUACAUAGAUCUGGUGCACUUAUUGUUUGGAUAGAUAUUAUAAGCGUUGAAUGUAAUUUUGUUUGAUGAUAUUUAUAAUUCAUUAGUGUCCAUUUUCUGUUUAUUCUUAUGGAAAAUCAUGAUGAAGUUAUAUAGUAUAUUUGCUUAAAAACUUUCCAUUGGCUUGCUGUUUGGUUUUGUUCUGUGCAUUCUCCUUCAAUAAGUUUUGUUCAAAGUUCUUUCAGUCUUUUCAAUAAUGACAACUGAGAAAGUAUGAGCUCUUGAGGUCACCGUAUUAGCUAUUAUUGCUGUAUUCCGCCUAAAGUUUGAUGUGUUAUAAUUGGCAGAUUGACAUUCAAAACUUGACCAGUCUCAAAAAACUACCUGAAUCCGCUGCUAUAUCUGUCCUUGACCAGGUUCAGCUUUGUCAAAAUGUGUGAAUUAUUCAAAUUAUCAACUAUUAGAUAUAUCCAUAUCUCGUCUUUUGUGUAUUUACAGUUGGAAUUUGAAUAUUUAAAGCUGCUUUUUUUUAAUUACUUCGAUAAUUACUUUCUCAUGUCUUCCUCUAUAGUUUAUGUUAUCAGGAGCAGACAAAGAAAACAGAGGAGUUUAUCUUGCCGCAUUAAUUUCUAGGGUAUUUGUCCUGCAAUCAUAUUAGGCAUUUGAUGCUUUUGGUUUUGCAACUGUUGACAUGCAGUAGUGAUUAAUUGAACAACUUAUCUUCUGGAUGUAGCAUCAGGUUGACCAGCUGCUUCUGGGUCGAUCUCCAGGUGGUUUGUCAAGGGUAGGAGAUCUUAUUAAGAGUGAUGUGGCUAUUUCCAGCUUCUCCAGUAGAGUUCAUUUGCCAGUUGAUGAUUCUUUUAUCCCUCAUGUGGGCUCGACACGGUCUAGGUUUGUCCUUUUCCUUAUAAUUACUACCAGCACAAUAAAUCUUGAUAAGCCACCAUCUGUUAGAACAGUUCCCCUGGAUGGGUUGCAGUACCUAAGUCUAUGGGUAUUACAAGGUGCAAUCUUUUCCACCACUUCCUGAUUUUCGAUUGCUUUCCAGCUUCAUUAGUCAAGUCCAUUUCCCAGUUGUGGAUUCUCUUGCCUCACCUGCAUACUUGUCAGUGCCCAGGUUAGUGUUUCAUACUUUUCUUGAACUUGAUUUCAUGGCUUGUGUUGGCUUAUCUUCUUUAUCCCUUGCAAUGGGCUUCUUGCACGUGUUGCAUUUCUUCCACUUAAAAUAUUUUCUGAAUUGAUGAUCGUUCAAGAUUUUCUCCCAAAAAAAUUAUUUUUUAUUUUUAUUUCGGAGGUGUCUUUGUUCUAAUGCCAAUAUUUGGUGCAUUGAUCGAACAUACCUUUCAAACUUUUGUCAAUAAUAAAUAUGAACUUUCUUGUCUCGUCUAUUUCUGUAUAUGCCAUUCUCGACAAGAAGUAGAUAUGAAGCUGUCGUCUUGACUAAUAUGAUCUGACAAUGGAACUUUUGCUUUUACAUGUAACAUGGGGAAGUAAUUGUAGGAACUUGUGGCUAUGUUAAUGCUCUGCUUUAUUGAAUAAUAGGUCUACCAUGCCUUUUAAAGGUGUUGGUGCUAUCAGUUCAUGGGUUGUUCUUUGCAGGUCAGGCAACUAUGUGCCCCGCUAUUCUGCAUUAGUUUCCGACUAUCCCAUAAUGACUCGAGAAUCGGUUGAACUAACAAAAGAGGCGAGCUCUUCACCUUUGCAGCCUUGCGGAAGAUUGACGUUGGAUCCCCAAAUAACAGAAAUGGCUGAUCGUCCACCUCGUCGGCCCCAAAUCAGAUUCGACCCUUUGACUGGCGAACCAUACAAAUUUGACCCUUUCACAGGUGAACGAAUCCUUCCAGAUAAUCCACAGCACCGUUUUUAAAGGUAUCAUGAUCCUCAAUGUCGAGAUGCUGGUUGCUUUUAAGCAGCCAUGGCGGAUCUCACCUUUUGACAGCGUCUAUAAAUGGUACGUCUGUUUGGGCCAUUUUCUUCCAGAUUAAUAUUUAUUGAUUUUUAUGUAUGUUGCUUAAUUAAUAAAUGCCUGAGUAAGUAGUUUAGAGAUUCCAGUUUUUAUUAAUUUCAGUUGAAUUAUGGAAGUCCGUCAGAAUUUUGAUAUUUGAACUCGUGCAUGUUCCUCAAGCGUACAAUUCUGUAUUAAUGGAUAUACCAAAUAACGGUAGCUUAUGUUACGACUCGAUAAAUGGUCAAAACCUUAAAUUUCUCGUUUUCAUUCCUAUCUGACACCCUGGGGAACUUUGAGAAUCUUGAAAGGGAUGUCUUCACUUGCACCGUACAUUAAGCCAAGUCAAGUGCCCCUGGUAAAAUUGGUAUUAGCAUGUUGAGAAGACUUGACCAAAUUAAAUUAGAAGACCUCAACUAAGCUUGUAAUGAGUCGGACUUUUAUUAAGUUUAGACUCAAUUUAUUUAAUUUGUAACAUUUUUGGAUUUUUGGGUUAAUAAAUGUGAUGAUCAUAUUUAGUUCACCAAAUAUUCGGACUUAAUUUAAACUCACUUAUUACUCCUUAAUUUUUUUAAUAUAAUUACUAUUGAGUUGUAAAAUUAAUUUAAAAUUAACAGAACUAUAACAUUAAAACUAAAUAUGAACAAGUAAUAGUUCUUAAAAAUUACAUAUACUAAGAAUUUUUCAACAAUAUUUAUAUCUAAUUCGUUUAAAGUACAUGAAAAAUAAUAAUAAAAUUUAUGAUCAUAAAUCCAAUACAUCUUCAAAGGCUGGAACUUCUUCAUAACUUUGUGGCUUGAAUCAAAACAAGCUUUAUGAUUUGUGUUUUUGGACAAAAAAAGAAAUCAACCAAUAUUAUGCCAGUACAAAAAUUUACUCAAUCAAUAAAAAAAAGUUAGAAUUUCAGUAAUACAUUACUAAUAUUAACUCUCAAGAAAACUAAUAAAGGAGUUUUCAAUUGUAUUUUUAUGUUUUGUAAUUUAUAUAUAUAAUUAUAUAUAAUAUCAAAAUAUAAUUAUAGAUAAUGUAUUUAGAUAUAUAAUUGUAUAUAAUAUCAAAAUAUAUUUAGUAAUAAUAUAUUUGAAUAUAUAAUUAUAUAUAAUAUCAAAAUAUAAAUAUUAUAUAUAACUAUUAUUUUAUAUAGGUAAUUUAAAUGUCAGAUCUAUAUCGAAUUUGAACCUAAUUAGACCAAAACUCGACUCAUAUUUAAUUCAAACCUAAUUUUUAAGUUCAACCUCAAAUCAACUCACUAAAAGGUUGGACUCAUUGGAUUUUUCCUCGGAUCGAGCGAGCCAAGUUCAAACUGACCCAACCCUCUUAUUCCCAACAUUCUUGUGCCACUAAAACCCAGGGAGGCACAAGCUUCCGACCUACGAAAUCAAGCCUAGAUAUUUUACAACCUGAGCAGACGUUAACUGUUAAUUUAAAAAAAAAAAAAAAAACAAAUGAUCACCAAGAGCGGUAACUGAGAGACAUUCCAUUGGAUAAAACAAAAUAUUCAGCGAACCCAAAUAUCAUCCACAAAGCCAACUUUUACCAUGAGACAUUUAAAGAUCUAAAGUAAAUCAUAGCAUCGAGAGGAAACCUAACAGGAGUCCAGAGCAGAUACAGUUCACGGUCCAUUAUUUGGAUAUACACCCAACGAAUGAGAAACUUCUUAAUUACCCAAUAACGAUGCAUAGGCUAAUGCCAAGCAAACAUUUGAUACCAGUACAAUGCAGCUUUCGUUGAUCAAUGCAUCCAAUAACCUAAUACAAGAGCUAAUCCACAGAACUUGGAAAUUUUCAAGCACAAAUAAGCAAGACUCCCUUCCCACAGGAACUCUUUGAUAGCCCAAGAAAAACAGAGCUCGGCAUGUUACAAACAAGAGAUCAACAUC
rnacentral:lncRNA from 1 species